UGCCAGCCGCCGCGGUAAUACGUACUGUGCGAACGUUAUUCGGAAUCACUGGGCUUAAAGGGUGCGUAGGCGGUUUGCCAAGUCGGAUGUGAAAGGUUGGGGCUCAACCCCAACACGGCGUUCGAAACUGGCAAUCUUGAGUCGGCUAGGGGUGUGUGGAACUACCAGUGGAGCGGUGAAAUGUGUUGAGAUUGGUAGGAACGCCGGUGGCGAAAGCGACACACUGGGGCCGGUCUGACGCUGAGGCACUAAAGCCAGGGGAGCGAACGGGAUUAGAUA
rnacentral:rRNA from 1 species